CCUACGGGAGGCUGCAGUGGGGAAUAUUGCACAAUGGGGGAAACCCUGAUGCAGCGACGCCGCGUGAGUGAAGAAGUAUUUCGGUAUGUAAAGCUCUAUCAGCAGGGAAGAAGAAAGACGGUACCUGACUAAGAAGCCCCGGCUAACUACGUGCCAGCAGCCGCGGUAAUACGUAGGGGGCAAGCGUUAUCCGGAUUUACUGGGUGUAAAGGGAGCGUAGACGGCUGUGCAAGUCUGAAGUGAAAGCCCAGGGCUCAACCCUGGGACUGCGUUUGAAACUGUGGAGCUAGAGUGCUGGAGAGGUAAGUGGAAUUCCUGGUGUAGCGGUGAAAUGCGUAGAUAUUAGGAGGAACACCAGUGGCGAAGGCGGCUUGCUGGACAGUAACUGACGUUGAGGCUCGAAAGCGUGGGGAGCAAACAGGAUUAGAUACCCCGGUAGUC
rnacentral:rRNA from 1 species